GGGGUGAUGGCCUACCAAGGCGACGACGGGUAGCCGGCCUGAGAGGGCGACCGGCCCACUGGGACUGAGACACGGCCCAGACUCCUACGGGAGGCAGCAGUGGGGAAUAUUGCACAAUGGGCGCAAGCCUGAUGCAGCGACGCCGCGUGAGGGAUGACGGCCUUCGGGUUGUAAACCUCUUUCAGCAGGGACGAAGCGAAAGUGACGGUACCUGCAGAAGAAGCGCCGGCCAACUACGUGCCAGCAGCCGCGGUAAGACGUAGGGCGCGAGCGUUGUCCGGAUUUAUUGGGCGUAAAGAGCUCGUAGGCGGCUUGUUGCGUCGGCUGUGAAAACCCAUGGCUCAACCGUGGGCUUGCAGCCGAUACGGGCAGGCUAGAGUUCGGUAGGGGAGACUGGAAUUCCUGGUGUAGCGGUGAAAUGCGCAGAUAUCAGGAGGAACACCGGUGGCGAAGGCGGGUCUCUGGGCCGAUACUGACGCUGAGGAGCGAAAGCGUGGGGAGCGAACAGGAUUAGAUACCCUGGUAGUCCACGCUGUAAACGUUGGGCGCUA
rnacentral:rRNA from 1 species